rnacentral:rRNA from 1 species
AUUAAAGGGGGCGUUCCGGGUGACCGGAGCCUCGCGAGCAGAGAGGAGUAUGUCCUAUUAGGUUGUUGGUGGGGUAAAUGCUUACCAAGCCGAUGAUGGGUAGCUGGACUGAGAGGUCGACCAGCCGCAAUGGGAUUGAAAUACGGCCCAUAUUCCUACGGGAAGCAGCAGUGAGGAAUUUUUCACAAUGGACGAAAGUCUGAUGGAGCAAUACCAUGUGAACGAUGAAGGUCUUCUGAUUGUAAAGUUCUUUUAUUUAGGAAAAAAAGCUUGAGAGGAAAUGAUUAAGCCUUGAUUGUACUAAAUGAAUAAGUGACAGCUAACUAUGUGCCAGCAGCUGCGGUAAAACAUAGGUCACGAGCAUUAUCCGGAUUUAUUGGGCGUAAAGGAAGCGUAGGCGGACAAAUUGAUCUAUUGUGAAAGGCACUUGCUCAACGAGUUGUUUGUGAUGGAUAUCGUUUGUCUAGAAUUAGUUAGGAGAUACUGGAAUUCAAUGUGUAGCGGUGGAAUGCGUAGAUAUAUUGAGGAACACCAGAGGCUAAGGCGAGUAUCUAGGACAUAAUUGACGCUGAAGCUUGAAAGCGUGGGGAGCAAAUGGGAUUAGAUACCCCAGUAGUCCACGCCGUAAACGAUGGGUAUUAGGUAUUUGGUUUAGGACUGAGUGCUGUAGCUAACGCGUUAAAUACCCCGCCUGGGUAGUAUAUAUGCAAAUAUGAAACUCAAAGAAAUUGACGGGGACCUGAACAAGUGGUGGAGCAUGUUGCUUAAUUCGAUAAUACACGAAAAACCUUACCGAGGCUUGUAAUCUUUUGCGAAGCUAUAGAAAUAUAGUGAAGGUUAUCAAAAUGACAGGUGGUGCAUGGCUGUCGUCAGCUCGUGUCUUGAGAUGUUUGGUUAAGUCCCGUAACGAGCGCAACCCUACUCUUUAGUUAAUUAGUUCUAAAGUGACUGAAUCGUAAGAUAUAGGAAGGCUGGGGCCAAGUCAAGUCAUCAUGCCCCUUAUGCCUCGGGCUGCAAACGUGCUACAAUGGUAGGCAUAAUGUGUCGCAAACUAGAAAUAGGGAGCUAAUCACCGAAAACCUAUCUCAGUCCGGAUAA